rnacentral:rRNA from 1 species
CGGGUGAGUAAUGCGUGACCAACCUGCCCCAUGCUCCAGAAUAGCUCUUGGAAACGGGUGGUAAUGCUGGAUGCUCCAACUUGACGCAUGUCUUGUUGGGAAAGUGUUUAGUGGCAUGGGAUGGGGUCGCGUCCUAUCAGCUUGUAGGCGGGGUAAUGGCCCACCUAGGCUUCGACGGGUAGCCGGCCUGAGAGGGCGGACGGCCACAUUGGACUGAGAUACGGCCCAGACUCCUACGGGAGGCAGCAGCC